GUAAAUCUCCACAAGUUCCUUCUGGAGGCUCUGGUUCUUGACAGAAGACUCUUUGAGUUCAUGAGUUAC
rnacentral:sRNA from 1 species